rnacentral:ncRNA from 1 species
AGGUUCGCUUAGCCGCGACUAACUGGGAAUGAGGUGAGAAUCCUCGACUGUCCCGCAGCUGUAAGCUACCCAUAGGCUCCGAAGCAACAAAGCCAUUGCCUCUUCUAUCCUAACACCAGAGGUGAGAAGGCGCUUCGGAGUGGAGCAAGUCAGAAGACCAGCCUUUCGCUCA